rnacentral:rRNA from 1 species
CACGUAGUUAGCCGUGGCUUUCUCAUAAGGUACCGUCAAUUGAUAGUCAUUUCCUCCUAUCACCUUUCUUCCCUUAUAACAGAAUUUUACAGCCCGAAGGCCUUCUUCAUUCACGCGGCGUUGCUCGGUCAGGCUUUCGCCCAUUGCCGAAGAUUCCCUACUGCUGCCUCCCGUAGGAGUCUGGGCCGUGUCUCAGUCCCAGUGUGGCCGUUCACCCUCUCAGGUCGGCUACGCAUCGUCGCCUUGGUAGGCCUUUACCCCACCAACUAGCUAAUGCGCCGCAGGCUCAUCCAUCAGUGAUGCCAGGAGCAUCUUUAAACUUUCGUCCUAUCCGGUAUUAGCGAUCGUUUCCAAUCGUUGUCCCCGUCUGAUGGGCAGAUCACCUACGUGUUACUCACCCGUUCGCCGCUUCCCACCGAAGUGGUUCGCUCGACUUGCAUGUAUUAGGCACGCCGCCAGCGUUCAUCCUGAGCCAGGAUCAAACUCU